rnacentral:rRNA from 1 species
GUGGGGUGCGAGCGUUAUCCGGAUUUAUUGGGCGUAAAGCGCGCGUAGGUGUUUUGACAAGUUUUUGAUUAAAGAUUCAGGCCUAACCUGAAAAAUGUCAAAAAACUAUCAAAAUAGAGGAUUUUCGAGGCAAGUGGAACUUGCGGUGUAGGAGUGAAAUCCAUUGAUAUCGCAAGGAACACCAAUGGCGAAGGCAGCUUGCUAGGAAAUUCCUGACACUGAGGCGCGAAAGCGUGGGUAGCGAAAGGGAUUAGAUACCCCUGUAGUCCACGCCGUAAACGAUGCUGGCUAGAUAUUUUCGGCAUCGACCCCCCGAAAGUGUCGAAGCUAACGCGUUAAGCCAGCCGCCUGGGGGAGUACGGCCGCAAGGCUA